UACUUAAGUCUCUCAGAGGGCUCUAC
rnacentral:piRNA from 1 species